rnacentral:rRNA from 1 species
UACCAGCACCCCGAGUGGUCGGGACGAUUAUUGGGCCUAAAGCAUCCGUAGCCGGUUCUACAAGUCUUCCGUUAAAUCCACCUGCUUAACAGAUGGGCUGCGGAGGAUACUAUGGAGCUAGGAGGCGGGAGAGGCAAGCGGUACUUAGUGGGUAGGGGUAAAAUCCGUUGAUCCAUUGAAGACCACCAGUGGCGAAGGCGGCUUGCCAAUACGCGCUCGACGGUGAGGGAUGAAAGCUGGGGGAGCAAACCGG